rnacentral:rRNA from 1 species
GGCCUAACACAUGCAAGUCGAGGGGUAUGCUUCUUCGGGAGCAGAGACCGGCGCACGGGUGCGUAACGCGUAUGCAAUCUACCUUUUACAGAGGGAUAGCCCAGAGAAAUUUGGAUUAAUACCUCAUAGUAUAGCAGUUUCGCAUGAAACCACUAUUAAAGUCACAACGGUAAAAGAUGAGCAUGCGUCCCAUUAGCUAGUUGGUAAGGUAACGGCUUACCAAGGCUACGAUGGGUAGGGGUCCUGAGAGGGAGAUCCCCCACACUGGUACUGAGACACGGCCCAGACUCCUACGGGAGGCAGCAGUGGGGAAUAUUGCACAAUGGGCGGAAGCCUGAUGCAGCGACGCCGCGUGAGGGAUGAAGGCCUUCGGGUUGUAAACCUCUUUCAGCAGGGACGAAGCGUGGGUGACGGUACCUGCAGAAGAAGCACCGGCUAACUACGUGCCAG